GAAUAUUUAUAGUUAUAUUUGUAAGGAGUGUAUAUAUAUAUAGAGAGAGAUCUGUUUAUACUAUAUUAUGAUGGAAAUCAUGUCAUAUGGAUUGAUUAUUCCCAUCUAUCCGGUGGGAAUGAUCUCUGAUGAGAAGAAAGCCUCUUUAAAAUCAUUUUAGGCCUUUUUAAUCGGAAAUGUCAUGCUCAAAAUGUGCAUUAAACCUAAAAAAAAAUCCAAUUUCCCUUAUCCUACUGGCAUUUUCAACACUUGAAGAUGGAUACUGACUGUUUUCCACUCUGACAGAAGCACAAAUCUAGCCUAAUAAACGUCUGUAUGUAUUCGCAAUUAAAUAAACAAUCUAUUAUUUCUUUUCUCUGUGCCUACAGUGCCGUGUCAGUCACCAUAUGCCGGGAGAGAGGAGCAGGGAGUCGUAUCACGAUGGUAGUUUUUUGGUGUUGUGAGAGGGGGGGGUGGGGGAGCCAGAGUCGAGGGCUCACAGUGCAUGUAGCACAUCAGAUCUCCCUCAAUUAAUCCAACAUUAGGUGCCUGGGAUCCACGAGUCAGUGCUUUUGGAAAGCAUGUGUGGCUCAAAUCUAAUUAUUCUCUCCCUUCCUUUGAGCCGGAGAGGGUGGAGAGAUAUACAGACAGAGAAAGAGAGAGAGAGUGUCCGUCCACGUAGCUAUAGGUUUUGUUAUGCUGUGAUUUCUCUCUCUCCCUCGCUUGCCCGCUCACUCCGAACCCCCUUCUACCCCCACCUCCUCCUCUCUCUCACUCAUUCUCCAUCUCUCUCUCACAUACACACGCGCCAAACACUCUCUCUCUCCUCCUCUGCCUCUCUCUCUCCGUCUGUCUCUCCCUCCCUCAGCUUCACUCGCUCUUGUGCUGUAAGUUCAUUUGCUGUGUCAAGCAACAACUGGCUCGGGAGUGGGCAGUGGGUUUUGAUCCUUUUGUCAAGCAUCCCCCCUGCGAACGUGUACCGCGUCCACCUGCACACCACAGGACUGCCUGCCUGGCUCUCUCUAACAUCGCCGUACCGUCCUGGGUUUAUCACGAUCAGGCAUCCCACCUCGCUUAGGCGGGCGGCACGACGAGAUGCUGAAGGUUUGACGGGGUGAACCCACUACAGUGGACUAUCGCCAUCAUCAGAAUCAUCGCCGUGGCAAUGGGAGUCGAGACAUGGACGCUCACCGGAGGACCUCCGCUGGGUCCUUGCAUCCCAGACGAGCCGUUGAGGGGCCCUUGCCUUGCGCUACAAAGCGUCUUCAAUCAAUUGUUUUGAAAAGGCCGCGUUUUCCGAACAGCCGCGGACGAUGCCGGCGGUUCUGUUGUUUCUCUCUGUAAAAGACUCUCUUCGGUGACGGGUAUUCUUGGGUGGAUAAUACGGCUCUCGUUGUUAUUGCUUAAGAAUACGCGUAGUCGAGGAGAGUCAUGUCGGCGGCGCCUGCAAUGGACUAGAGAGAGCGUUGAAUCCAGAAGGCCCACCUGCCUGCACACACACACAUGCGUUUGCUAACGCCGAGGUUCACGCCCACAUCCAUUUAUUGAGUCAGCGAAGCUGCAUUUCCUGUUUGUGUGUGAUGCAUGUGCUGUUGAUUUAUCCGCCUGCUUCUGCUAAACAUCUUUUCAGCCACCGGAAAGGAAAAACUGGGGUUUUGUUGUGAUUUGAGUUCUGCUUUAAAAUGCUACGGCGUCCUCACCGAAAGGGGAAGCUGUAUAUUGUAACGUGCCGGGAGGGGUUGCGGAUGCAAAUGUGUUCGGUUUGUGCCAUAUAUUCUUUUCUCAGGACCGCACACACUCCACCUUUUUAAUGCAAAUUGAUUUUGAAAUGACAUUUAUCGUGCCGGGUUUCCAUAUGGAGCUCCGUGAGGGCUGGAGAAAAAAAAAAAAUGGAAUGAAAUGUCCACGAUGCCACUGACAGCUAAAUUUAUGCGGAUUGUAAAGGAACACACUGCAGAUAAACAGUUACCACGGCUUUAGAUUGACUGCGGCGUGGCUUCCCAUGUAGGCACGCGUAUAUCAUGAAUAUGUAUCAGGCGAGCGUAUGAUGCUGCAUUCUAACGUCCAUGAAAUCCAUUUAGGGAACCUAAUAGGAUCUACUCGACUUAUGAAAGCUUACGAUCAGAUCUGAUAAAUAUACAUGAGGUUGUUUUAUAAAAAAGAAUUCUUUUGCUUUUUACAUUUAUACCUAUUUUGCAUAAAAACAAAUGUAUUGCAUUUGGACCGGCUGUUGAUGUAUUGACGUGGACUAUUUGUAAAUCUGCAAACAUUUUAAUUUGUUCUCCAUUAUCAUUCAGCACAUUUAAGUGAUGUAUUAGCAUUUCAGAUAGACUAAAGGCAACAAUCAGCCCGCUCUAUCCUUGAUCACUCUGUAAUUAUCAUUCUUUCGGCUAUGUGUUUAAAUGAAUAGAGAGAAAAGAGGUGUGGAGGAGGAAUAUUGUAAUGUUUUACCACUAGGGGAACCAUACAACUGAAAAUCAGAGGAGAUUAUAUCAGUUUUUUAGUGUGUUGCUUAACUUUUUAAGUCAUGUUUUAUAUCAUACUUAAGGUGUUUGGGGUGCGUAGAUUCAAAACUAACGGAAAUAUCUGUUUAGAUGAAAAUAGUUUUAGAUAUAACAGGUUUUGGCAGCUUAAAAAGAAUGUGGUUUUUAUUCUUAGCAUGUACACUCAGAAUGAAUGGAAUUUCAUUUAUUCCUUUAUUAAUUUAUGCUAAACAGUGCCUUAGGAGUGGCAAUUAUGACAAAGGUCACAUGCAAACCAUUUGAUUAACAGUUAUCUGUUAUAUUAGAAUAUUUACCUGUAUUUAAGAUUAAAAUAUAUUUUUUUUUCACUGAAAUAUUCUACAGUAUAUGAGCAGAAUUUCUCUCUGAUAUAAAUUUUAUUGAUGCUGUUAUCUCGCUGUUAAACUUGCAUCUGUCUGCAGUUUAUGACGUGAUGAAAUUUUUCAAGCCUCUGCAGUUCAUUUUAAUUUGCUCUUUAUUGAAAUUAUUUUUAUAUGCACAUCAUCUUUGUUCCUCCCCCUCAUAUUAUAAAUAAAGCUUGAUUUAAGUGAAA